rnacentral:rRNA from 1 species
UGUUGGCCGGGCGACGGUUGUCCCGGUUUAAGCGUGUAGGUGUGUGUUCCAGGUAAAUCCGGUUCACUUUAACACUGAGGCGUGACGACGAGGCACUACGGUGCUGAAGCAACAAAUGCCCUGCUUCCAGGAAAAGCCUCUAAGCAUCAGGUAACAUCAAAUCGUACCCCAAACCGACACAGGUGGUCAGGUAGAGAAUACCAAGGCGCUUGAGAGAACUCGGGUGAAGGAACUAGGCAAAAUGGUGCCGUAACUUCGGGAGAAGGCACGCUGACACGUAGGUGAAGUGAUUUACUCAUGGAGCUGAAGUCAGUCGAAGAUACCAGCUGGCUGCAACUGUUUAUUAAAAACACAGCACUGUGCAAACACGAAAGUGGACGUAUACGGUGUGACGCCUGCCCGGUGCCGGAAGGUUAAUUGAUGGGGUCAGCGCAAGCGAAGCUCCUGAUCGAAGCCCCGGUAAACGGCGGCCGUAACUAUAACGGUCCUAAGGUAGCGAAAUUCCUUGUCGGGUAAGUUCCGACCUGCACGAAUGGCGUAAUGAUGGCCAGGCUGUCUCCACCCGAGACUCAGUGAAAUUGAACUCGCUGUGAAGAUGCAGUGUACCCGCGGCAAGACGGAAAGACCCCGUGAACCUUUACUAUAGCUUGACACUGAACAUUGAGCCUUGAUGUGUAGGAUAGGUGGGAGGCUUUGAAGUGUGGACGCCAGUCUGCAUGGAGCCGACCUUGAAAUACCACCCUUUAAUGUUUGAUGUUCUAACGUGGACCCGUUACCCGGGUUGCGGACAGUGUCUGGUGGGUAGUUUGACUGGGGCGGUCUCCUCCUAAAGAGUAACGGAGGAGCACGAAGGUUGGCUAAUCCUGGUCGGACAUCAGGAGGUUAGUGCAAUGGCAUAAGCCAGCUUGACUGCGAGCGUGACGGCGCGAGCAGGUGCGAAAGCAGGUCAUAGUGAUCCGGUGGUUCUGAAUGGAAGGGCCAUCGCUCAACGGAUAAAAGGUACUCCGGGGAUAACAGGCUGAUACCGCCCAAGAGUUCAUAUCGACGGCGGUGUUUGGCACCUCGAUGUCGGCUCAUCACAUCCUGGGGCUGAAGUAGGUCCCAAGGGUAUGGCUGUUCGCCAUUUAAAGUGGUACGCGAGCUGGGUUUAGAACGUCGUGAGACAGUUCGGUCCCUAUCUGCCGUGGGCGCUGGAGAACUGAGGGGGGCUGCUCCUAGUACGAGAGGACCGGAGUGGACGCAUCACUGGUGUUCGGGUUGUCAUGCCAAUGGCACUGCCCGGUAGCUAAAUGCGGAAGAGAUAAGUGCUGAAAGCAUCUAAGCACGAAACUUGCCCCGAG